GGUGUGUGAGGAGAGCACUAGUUCCUAGAGGUCAGGCAACAGCACAAGCAAAGCCUGUUGGGAAGGGGCACAGGUUAUAAGUGAAACCUGUUGCACAGAACAGCGAGACGGCUAGAGGGAGCAGCGUGUCUGGGAGUUUCUUCAGUCCUCAGUCUGGGGAAGGAGCCAGGGAUGGGCUGUGUCCAGAGGCCUAGAAAAGGCCAGAGACUAGAAAUGAAGCAAGGUGCAGCUGGAGAAGCAGUGGAGCAUGAACUCAAGGUGGAUAUGGAAUGAGGAUACUGUCAUCUCUCAAAACUUUCUGGACAUGAACCCCAGACCCUUUUUUGGCCUCUUCAGAGUUUCCUGUAUUUCUCCACCUUUGGGUUGGCUGGCUAUGGGCCUGCACUUUGCUGCAGUUUUUCCUGGCCUACAGACUCUCUAAAGAUACUACAGUAUGUCAAGCAACACUUCAAAAAAAGAGAAGAUAUUUCUCUUUACCUCAGAGUCUGUUGCAGAAGGACAUUCUGGAGUCCAUCUAGAGGCUGCUGACCUGAAUUCACAUUGGGCCAAUGGUGCACCAGUGCUGGGGCUCCCCUACUACAAGCUGAAAUCACUAAAAGAGCUAAGCUUACUGAGCUGAGAUCACUGAGUGCUGUGUUAACUAGUGGGGGAGCCUGAAGAUCUAUCGCUAAGCGGCUGGUAGAGCGGAGCAGGUUGGAGCAGCCCAUGGAACAGUGAGCAGAGUGGAGCGGUUUGCAGGGAUGGCUGGAGUGACUCACGGGUCGGCUGGAGGAGCGGCACAGUGGGUGUAGUGGAGCUGGUUGUGGUGAAGGCUGCAGCAGAACUCCACGAAGAGGCAGAACAGUUGGCCCUGGCCCACGUACGGUGCCCCUUAACACUCUAUGUGUGUGUGACCCCCCUAUUUCCACCCAGGCUGGGGGGGUAAAACUCUGCAGAUAUACUUUU